rnacentral:rRNA from 1 species
UGGGGAAUAUUGCACAAUGGAGGAAACUCUGAUGCAGCAACGCCGCGUGAAGGAAGAAGGUCUUCGGAUUGUAAACUUCUGUUUUAGUGACGAAGGAAGUGACGGUAGCUAAAGAGGAAGCCACGGCUAACUACGUGCCAGCAGCCGCGGUAAUACGUAGGUGGCAAGCGUUGUCCGGAUUUACUGGGUGUAAAGGGUGCGCAGGCGGGACUGCAAGUUGGAUGUGAAAUACCGGGGCUUAACCCCGGAGCUGCAUCCAAAACUGUAGUUCUUGAGUGAAGUAGAGGUAAGCGGAAUUCCGAGUGUAGCGGUGAAAUGCGUAGAUAUUCGGAGGAACACCAGUGGCGAAGGCGGCUUACUGGGCUUUAACUGACGCUGAGGCACGAAAGCAUGGGUAGCAAACAGGAUUAGAUACCCUGGUAGU